UCGUCGUGUUAACAGCAGCACAAGCAGUUAAGCAACAAAUAAGAGUUGGGAAAUUAGCUACUUUGCAAGAGCAACAAAAACAACAAUAACGGUUGAAUAAAGUCGAAAUUUAAAGCGGUUAAAUAAAAGCCAAACACUGCGUGUGGCUAACGAAAAGAAAACAACAAAAACAGCUAGUAGGUGCUUAAGUGCAACAACAAAAUAAAUACAGCCAACGAAAAAAAACUGUUAGUAAAGUGUGAAAAUAACGCAUAAUAAAUACGAGCAACAACUACAACAACAAUAAGCGUUUGAAAAGUGGCAAACGGAAAUUGGUGCAACGUGAAGUGCGAAAAUUUCCAUCCCGCAAAAUUGUGAAAAUUUUAAAACAAAUACACACUCGUGACUAAUAAAAUUGUGGCAAAAAGUGUACACAAAGCAAAUAAAAAAUUUAUAAAGUAAUAAAUAAAAAAUAAACCGUUAAGCGCAUAAAGCCGUCGGAAGUGUGGCAACAAAUUUCGGUGUCAUCCAGCAAAAAGUAUUAUUUGAAAAAGUGAAAAAAGCUAAUUAAUUACAAAAGUAAUAUAUGUAAUUCGAGCAAGCAGACUGCCACACACAUAUGUAUAUAUAUACACACACACGCAUGUAUAUUUUUUGGCGCACGGUUUGCUGCUUGCAACAUUAAUUUUGGAGUGAAUUUGCCAAGGAUUUGCGAGCGCUUAGCUGGCCACCAAUCAACCACAACAAAAAGUAAGACCAAAGCAACAACAACCACAUACAUAUACAACACUAAUAACGCGAAUUACAACGGCGGUGGCAAACGCAACAACAAUUAUAGCGAAAAACGUUAGCAACAUACGAAGCGGCAACAUUUGGCAGCAGAAUAUAGAACCGGUGAUUUGGAUUCUUCUAAACUCCCUGAGGCAGCAUUAAUUUAUUUGCUGCUGUCAUCCUUUUUACGUUGUUUAUU